CAGGCAAAUGUGGAUGUUUUGGAUAAAGAUGGUGAUCCUCCACUUGUUUUUGCUUUAGCUGCUGGAUCUUCAGAAUGUGUUCGUGCUCUCAUUGAAAAAGGGGCUAAUGUUAGGUCUAGGUUGAGAGAAGGCAUUGGUCCAUCUGUUGCUCAUGUUUGUGCCUACCAUGGCCAACCCGAUUGUAUGCGAGAGCUACUAUUGGCUGGAGCUGAUCCCAAUGCUGUGGAUGAUGAAGGUGAAACAGUCCUGCAUAGGGCUGUUGCCAAAAAAUAUACAGAUUGUGCUCUUGUUAU
rnacentral:misc_RNA from 1 species